UUCAACUCAACUAAGGAAUUCUCUUCAAGGUUUGAGUAUUGCAAGUGAACUUCUGGAACAUGCUGUGCUACUUGCUACAAAUGAUAACCUUGAUCUUGGGUGUGCAAUAAUUGAGCAGGCAGCUACAGAUAAGGCGAUACAAACCAUUGAUGGGGAAAUAGCUCAACAACUUUCUUUAAGAAGGAAGCAUAGGGAUGGUCCAACAUUUUUUGAUGCGAACAUAUAUACCCAAGGUUCGAUGGGUGUUGUACCUGAGGCCCUCCGCCCCAAACCGGGUCACCUAUCUGUCUCUCAACAGCGAGUUUAUGAGGA
rnacentral:misc_RNA from 1 species